GACGAACGCUGGCGGCGUGCUUAACACAUGCAAGUCGAACGGAAAGGCCCUGCUUUUGUGGGGUGCUCGAGUGGCGAACGGGUGAGUAACACGUGAGUAACCUGCCCUUGACUUUGGGAUAACUUCAGGAAACUGGGGCUAAUACCGGAUAGGAGCUCCUGCUGCAUGGUGGGGGUUGGAAAGUUUCGGCGGUAGGGGAUGGACUCGCGGCUUAUCCGCUUGUUGGUGGGGUAGUGGCUUACCAAGGCUUUGACGGGUAGCCGGCCUGAGAGGGUGACCGGCCACAUUGGGACUGAGAUACGGCCCAGAAUGCUACGGGAGGCAGCAGUGGGGAAUAUGGCACAAUGGGCGGAAGCCUGAUACAGCAACGCCGCGUGCGGGAUGACGGCCUUCGGGUUGUAAACCGCUUUCGCCUGUGACGAAGCGUGAGUGACGGUAAUGGGUAAAGAAGCACCGGCUAACUACGUG
rnacentral:rRNA from 1 species